UAUAUACCUUUUCUAGUGGCUUUGCUAGGGUAGUAGGUACUGCGACCGGCACGAAACUUGAUCUUCACAUAUCUGCGCAAACGCAGCGUUCUUUUGAUAUGAAUAGGCAGUUUAUUUUUGGUGAUUCUAGCAUUAACUCUAUAAGCCUUUUUGAGGAUUAAUUUGUCCAGUCGUGCAUAUUGCAUGAACUGAUCAUUUUUUGAGUACCGCAAUAAUUAUAACAGGUUUGCGUAUAAAGAUAUGACAAAGUUUACAUUGUCGUCUGUUUUAGAAAUACCACUAAUAAAUAGAGGAAAGUCACCAAAUAUGGAAUAGUAUCCUAAUAUGGAAUACCUUCAUUUCUCUAAGACUAUAAGUAUAGAGAUGCAACACUCGACCAUCUUCUGUUUCAUUCGGUCUACUAACUAUCGCACUCACACCAUCGAGUCAGUUGCGCGAACGCUUCACGUGUGGCAGGCGUGUUUUAUUUUGUUAUCGUGCAGAAAAUUUUAAAGAAUGUCCGGUUCACAAUCAACCAAACGAAAAACCUGGGAUGAAGAAAAAAUGGCACAAGCUAUAAAAUUCGUCCGGGAAAAGAAAAUGGGGUAUUUGAAAGCGGCACAGCAUUUUCAAGUGCCUAGGAAAAUGAUUUAGAAGAUAAAAAUAUGAAGAGACAAGAAAAAGAAAAUAAACUAGUCAAGACAAAGAAUAAGAAGAAAACUGCGAAGAGAAACAAUCAAACGAAGAAAAAUAAGGAUGAUAGUGAAGAAGAAGACUCUGAGGAACUAGACGUUAUCCAGUUUAGUGAAGGUAGUGAACAAGAUGAGUUGAUGGACCAAGUACGUCCUGACUCUGCUGAUGCAGAAUGUAUGUUUUGUUCAAGUCUUUUUUCCAUGGAUAAAAGUGGAGAAAGCUGGAUUAAAUGCUUGAUGUGUGGGCUCUGGGCACAUUAUGAUUGUGCUGGUCCAGAGUUUGAUACUUGGAUCUGUGACUUUUGCAAGUAAUUAUGUAACUUCUUUCAUUUAUCACAAUAUGUUAUAUUCAUUUGAUUGAUCUCAAAGAUAUUAAUGUCCAUUUUUGUUAUUGUUACGUUGAUUUAUGCUUAUAUUCCAUAUAUGGGUACCUAUUCCAUAUUUGGUUACUCAUUUGUGAUUUUGUUUUUUGUGUUAGAUUUUAAUUUGAUUACUAAUAUAUUUGAUUAAAAGCUGUUAAUUACUACAUAUAAAUGUAUGACUGAUUAGUAAAAACAUUAAACUGGUUUAAUUUAUAUGAAGUUUUUUUUUAUAUCCCAAAAACAAAAUGGUAUUCCAUAUUUGGUGACUUUCCUCUAAUUCUUCUUACUGUAAUUUUACAUCACGACUUAAAUGGUUGGGUCGGUAGAUACUACAUAUUUCCACUAACCACGAUGCCUGCAUUCUUUCAUAUUAAUACAUACAUACAUACAUAUGGUCACGUCAUUAUCCCUUGCGGGGGAGACAGAGCCAACAGUCUUGAAAAGACCGAAUGGCCACGUUCAGCUAUUU